UACGUAGGUGGCAAGCGUUGUCCGGAAUUAUUGGGCGUAAAGAGCUUGUAGGCGGUUUGUCGCGUCUGCUGUGAAAAUCCGGGGCUCAACCCCGGACUUGCAGUGGGUACGGGCAGGCUAGAGUGUGGUAGGGGAGACUGGAAUUCCUGGUGUAGCGGUGGAAUGCGCAGAUAUCAGGAGGAACACCGAUGGCGAAGGCAGGUCUCUGGGCCACUACUGACGCUGAGAAGCGAAAGCAUGGGGAGCGAACAGG
rnacentral:rRNA from 1 species